CUUACACCUAGAGGCUCUCGCUCUACGGCCGGAACCUUGUUGCUAGGGACCGGGCGGUUUGCGGCAACCGUGGGCACUGCUGAAUUUGAAUUGAGGGGCGAGGGAAAAGUUUUCCUCAGGUGUGGUGGGGAGAGGGAGGCGGAUGCCGGGAAACCGUAGGGACGCGGUCAGAAAGGCGACGGGCUGUCGGAGUUGGAAAGGGCCUACUGCAGUGCAUGAAGGUGGUAUGGACUCAGAACUCUGAAGUCUGAGGAGACAAAUACAUGCCCACCAUAACAACAUCACACAAUACCUAGAGUCAAAACAGUUAUCCCUAUUCCUACCCCCAACUGAGUUAUUCAAUAAAGCCUGCCUUGUUGAAUCUGUUUUCCCAUGUAUAGUUUAUAUAGUUACAUAACAAUUAGUUUUUUCCAUAUACUUAGGAUAACUACAUGUAAUUUAGUAUUCUGCUGUUUUCACUUACAUAUCACAUACAUUUUCCUGAUACAGGUACAUAGUCUUUAUAUUUGUCAUUUUUCACUUGACUGCUAUGUUUCUCAAAUUGAUAUACUGUCAUUUCCUAAGCCAGUUAUAUAUUGUUGAACAUUUAAAUUACUCCCUUUUUUGGUUUGUAAAUAAACAUUGUUAUGAAAUAGUAAAA
rnacentral:lncRNA from 1 species